rnacentral:rRNA from 1 species
UACGAAGGGUGCAAGCGUUACUCGGAAUUACUGGGCGUAAAGCGUGCGUAGGUGGUUGGUUAAGUCUGUUGUGAAAGCCCUGGGCUCAACCUUGGAAUUGCAGUGGAUACUGGGCGACUAGAGUGUGGUAGAGGGUAGUGGAAUUCCUGGUGUAGCAGUGAAAUGCGUAGAGAUCAGGAGGAACAUCCAUGGCGAAGGCAGCUCCCUGGAACAACACUGACACUGAGGCACGAAAGCGUGGGGAGCAAACAGG